UGUAUCCCUGAUGAUAAAUUUGGCUCCCUCUACUGAAUGCUUGUGACGAGCUUGCCACUGUUACCCAAUUUUUCUGAGAUACA